GUAAUGUUUAAAUAAAUAAUUUUUUUAACAAAGCAAGAAAUUUAGAAUAAUGCAGUUGCAGAUAUUGAUAGUGUCUUAAAUAUAGACUUUGGGAGACUUUCAUAGGCUUUUCCUCACUCAUUCAUGUCCACAUUUGAGGCAGGAUAAAGGGAAGAGGGAUCCUCUUGUCUUACCAGAUAAAGUGAAAGUCUUUCCAGGGUCCCCAACAGUCUUCCAUGUAUGCUUUCAUUGUCAAGAAUUGUGUCACAUGGUCAUUUCUGCUUAUUAGGGAAUCUCAGGAAUUACUUGGUAAUGACUGGUGCUGGGCACCACGUUCUUCUGCAGGAAAAGGAGUUUCUAUUAGCAAGUAAUAGAUGUUAUAAUAGAGAUGAUAAUACUGAUGGAAUGGACUCUGUGACAAUAUGGCACCAAAUUAUAAACAAGUCCCCUAAGGCCAUACCUUGAGAUAAGCAAUAUUAAAACAUUUGCAGCUCACUGACUGCCAGAUGUUGACUGAUAACUCUCCCACCCCUAUUCCACAAGCCAUAAGUACAGCUUUGAUUUGACAAGAGACUGAUUUCAGUAACUUUCUGCUGAUGAGAGACUACUGAUCAUGGACUUGUUCUGGCCAGUUUACAGAGGCUGCACACUGAGUGUCUUAGCCUCUGCUGCUUCACCUUUUGACAUAUUGAGCUUCACCUUUUGACAUAUUGGGCCUAAAUACGUUUAAAUGUUAAGUCUCUAUGCCAAAGAUGCAUGCAUGCACGUUUGCUUAAUACACAUGCAGGUGUCCCCCUUUGUCAAUAUUCAUAUCUCCUCUUAUAACCUGUUGAAUAUAUAUACCUAGCUAACCUGCGUAGCAUAAAUUCCUGUCUUACCUUUCCUCCAAAGUGACUUGUUUUUCGCCUCUGCUGGAGGGUAUCUAUACUUCCCUGCAGGCUGAAACACUUUAUAAGAAAUAAAGUUCUCUCGAAAUUUAUGAACCUUGAGACGAAUGAGAUGCAGACAGGCAGCACUGGAGAAUGAACACUAGUCAUGGAUGCCUGGGCAUAGCCCAGAGCCAGGGACUUCCCUGGGUGAGGUUGUCCUCAUACUCAACUAGCCAUCUGUUGGUGCUACAACAGCUCAA
rnacentral:lncRNA from 1 species